rnacentral:tRNA from 1 species
GCCGCUAUACUUCAAUGGUAGAAGGGCCGGUUUAUACCCGGUGUAAGUCCUAGAUUGGGGCGAAAUUUCGGUUCGAGUCCGAAUGGCGGUUCCA